UACGGAGGGGACUAGCGUUGUUCGGAAUUACUGGGCGUAAAGCGCGCGUAGGCGGAUUUGUAAGACGGGGGUGAAAUCCCGGGGCUCAACCUCGGAACUGCCUUCGAUACUGCAAAUCUCGAGUCCGGAAGAGGUGAGUGGAAUUCCUAGUGUAGAGGUGAAAUUCGUAGAUAUUAGGAAGAACACCAGUGGCGAAGGCGGCUCACUGGUCCGGUACUGACGCUGAGGCGCGAAAGCGUGGGGAGCAAACAGG
rnacentral:rRNA from 1 species